rnacentral:rRNA from 1 species
AGAACGAACGCUGGCGGCAGGCUUAACACAUGCAAGUCGAGCGCCCUGCAAGGGGAGCGGCGGACGGGUGAGUAACACGUGGGAACAUGCCCUUUGGUUCGGAACAACUCAGGGAAACUUGAGCUAAUACCGAAUGUGCCGGUAACGGGAAAGAUUUAUCGCCAAGGGAUUGGCCCGCGUCCGAUUAGCUAGUUGGUGAGGUAAAGGCUCACCAAGGCUCCGAUCGGUAGCUGGUUUGAGAGAACGACCAGCCACACUGGGACUGAGACACGGCCCAGACUCCUACGGGAGGCAGCAGUGGGGAAUCUUGGACAAUGGGGGAAACCCUGAUCCAGCCAUGCCGCGUGAGUGAUGAAGGCCUUCGGGUUGUAAAACUCUUUCGACGGGACGAUAAUGACGGUACCGUAGAAGAGCUCGGCUACUUCGUGCCAGCAGCCGC